UGUGUGUGUGUGUGUGUGUGUAUGUGUGUGUGUGUGUGUGUGUGUGUGUGUGUGUGUGUGUGUCCAUGGGUGUGUACUCACAUGUGCACACAAUGACUUGUAAUUCUUCAUGUUUGUUCAUGUGCCUGUGGUCCUGUAUGUGUGUUCAUGUGUGCACGUGCAUUGUUGUGUUUGUUCUAGUUGUCCAGGUCUGUGUCGGUGUGUGGUUGUAGUAGUUAGUGUAAUGGUUGUAUAGCAAUACUCAUCACAUUCUCUCUUUUUUCUACAGGUACAAUAUACUCCACUGCACUAUGCAGUCCUCGGGAACAAGAUCAAUGUUGUCAAGGUGAUACUGUCACAUGACAGUGAUGGUGUCACCUUGGAUACUGCACUGCUUGACAUUAGUGGUCUCACAGCAUUGGGGCUAGCAAAGCUACAUGGUCAUGAUGAAUGUGUGCAGCUUCUCAUACAACAUGAAGCUGAAAAGGUUAUCUAUGGCCAGGCAAAGAAGAAAAAGCUAAACACACGUUCAAACUGACUCUGUUGCCAUGCCGACUCGGAAAGUUGAAACGUAGCCAGAUGAGGACCCUAAUUUACACGAAACCCGUGACCUGAUUUUACAUGCAUGAACACGUCGCAAUUUUCUACCAUGUGUAGUCAAUUCUACCGCGUGUAGUCAAUUCUACCGAAUGUGUAAAAUAAUUACACUGUACAUUUUUGGUAAAUUGCUGGACGUAGGCAGUAAACUUACCAGCUGGUUGAUUUUGUUCUUACAUUACACAGUGUCUGCUGAAUACAUAACAUACAUUAUAUUUUCCAUACUCUUUACCGCUAAAUUUCAUGAAUAAUUCUGAUUAGUGCUCUCGCCUGGUGUAUAAACUGCAUACAAGUGGCUAAUUGGUGUUCUAUGCCUGUUUACAAUGUGA